UUAAAUUGAAGAGUUUGAUCAUGGCUCAGAUUGAACGCUGGCGGCAGGCCUAACACAUGCAAGUCGAACGGUAACAGGAAGCAGCUUGCUGCUUCGCUGACGAGUGGCGGACGGGUGAGUAAUGUCUGGGAAACUGCCUGAUGGAGGGGGAUAACUACUGGA
rnacentral:rRNA from 4 species